rnacentral:lncRNA from 1 species
CCCAGGUCAGUAGGUGCCCAAUAUGCUACUGGAGAUCAGUGGAGAAAUAACUCCAGAAAGAAUGAAGGGAUGGAGCCAAAGCAAAAACAAUACCCAGCUGUGGAUGUGACUGGUGAUAGAAGCAAGGUCCGAUGCUGUAAAGAGCAUAGGAACCUGGAAUGUCAGGUCCAUGAAUCAAAGCAAAUUGGAAGUGGUCAAACAAGAGAUGGCAACAGUGAAUGUCGACAUUCUAGGAAUCAGUGAACUGAAAUGGACUGGAAUGGGUGAAUUUAACUCGAUGACCAUUAUAUCUACUACUGCGGGCAGGAAUCCCUCAGAAGAAAUGGAGUAGCCAUCAUGGUCAACAAAAGAGUCCAAAAUGCAGUACUUGGAUGCAAUCUCAAAAACAAUAGAAUGAUCUCUGUUUGUUUCCAAGGCAAACCAUUCAAUAUCACAGUAAUCCAAGUCUAUGCCCCAACCAGUAACGCUGAAGAAGCUGAAGUUGAACGGUUCCAUGAAGACCUACAAGACCUUUUACAACUAACACCCAAAAAAGAUGUCCUUUUCAUUACAGGGGACUGGAAUGCAAAAGUAGGAAGUCAAGAAACACCUGGAGUAACAGGCAAAUUUGGCCUUGGAAUACGGAAUGAAGAAGGGCAAAGACUAAUAGAAUUUUGCCAAGAAAAUGCACUCUUCCAACAACACAAGAGAAGACUCUAUACAUGGACAUCACCAGAUGGUCAACACCGAAAUCAGACUGAUUAUAUUCUUUGCAGCCAAAGAUGGAGAAGCUCUAUACAGUCAGCAAAAACAAGACCAGGAGCUGCCUAUGGCUCAGACCAUGAACUCCUUAUUGCCAAUUCAGACUUAAAUUGAAGAAAGUAGGGAAAACCACUAGACCAUUCAGG